UAAAAUACUAUAUUUAAUCUUUUUACCUUUGCAGCCAAAAAAAAAACUUUUUACCUUAUAUUAUCCACCUAUAUUGAAUUCUUUUGUUAAAAAGAACUAGGUCUCAUUUGAAAAUUCACUUUUGACCUCUAAAAUAUUAGGUCUAGCCCGAAAAAUGGUGGUGGUGGAAAGCCCAAGGCGGAUAGAAUUUGAACUCAAAAAAAUUUACUAAAGGGAAGUAUCUAUGAACGGUCCUAAAACUCCAACAUCAUAUUAUGGCUUAACAGCUUGAGAACAUCUGGGCAUGCCUUAAAAGAAAGCAUCAAAAACAUUGUUUAGCAAUAUCACCAAGCAUAGCAUCUGAUUCAGAACAAUCUUUUCAAAGUGGUUUUCAUUCCAGCACUUACAGGUAUCCUAUUCCCGCGCAUUGAUUUGCCAGUCCCUUCGAAUCCCCGAAUUGUAUACGUUGUUUCUCUUGUUCCAUUGCUAUUUUUUUUGAUCUAUAAAUUGAUGGCGUUUCAAUGAGUUUUUUGAUACUUGAGGCCAACAAGUUAGAGAAGCUUUAACCCCUCUUGUUUGUGACGAAAGAGUACUAAUAUUAUGGCAUCACUCAAGGCUGAGAAACCUGCAGCUGGUUCAAACCCAGCUGGGCAGGCCAAGAAGGAGCCUACGAAAGCUCCAGCCUCCAGUCAGGCCCCCAAAAAGGCUCAGGAGCCUAAGAAGAGGACAUCAGGUAGCAAGCCAGCAGCAAAAAAGAAAUAAGGAAGGAGAUCGAGCAUCACACGUAUCUAUAUAUCAGCAGAUUCUCUAUGAAAGCUUCUAAUUAAGUCCUUUUCUCUUUUCCCAGCUUGUACGAUCGAUGCUAGUAUAUAUGAAUGUAACUGGCUUGUGAUCUCAACUAUCUAUGUAGCCCUUUUCUUCCCAUCAGCCUAAUUAAAUAAAAGACAACUAUUUGAAUGA